AUUGAACGCUGGCGGCAGGCCUAACACAUGCAAGUCGAGCGGAGCGGCGGACGGGUGAGUAAUGCCUAGGAAUCUGCCUGGUAGUGGGGGAUAACGUCCGGAAACGGGCGCUAAUACCGCAUACUAUCAGAUGAGCCUAGGUCGGAUUAGCUAGUUGGUGGGGUAAAGGCCUACCAAGGCGACGAUCCGUAACUGGUCUGAGAGGAGGAUCAGUCACACGGGAACUGAGACACGGUCCAGACGCCUACGGGAGGCAGAGGUGGGGAAUAUUCGACAAGGGGCGAAGGCCUGAUCAAGCCAGGCGGCGUGGUGGAAGAAGGUCUUCGGAUUGUAAAGCACUUUAAGUUGGGAGGCGUUACCAACAGAAUAAGCACCGGCUAACUUCGUGCCAGCAGCCGCGGUAAUAC
rnacentral:rRNA from 1 species